UACGAAGGGGGCUAGCGUUGCUCGGAAUCACUGGGCGUAAAGGGUGCGUAGGCGGGUCUUUUAAGUCGGGGGUGAAAUCCUGGAGCUCAACUCCAGAACUGCCUUUGAUACUGAAGAUCUUGAGUUCGGGAGAGGUGAGUGGAACUGCGAGUGUAGAGGUGAAAUUCGUAGAUAUUCGCAAGAACACCAGUGGCGAAGGCGGCUCACUGGCCCGAUACUGACGCUGAGGCACGAAAGCGUGGGGAGCAAACAGG
rnacentral:rRNA from 1 species